GAUGAACGCUGGCGGCGUGCCUAAUACAUGCAAGUCGAGCGAACAGACGAGGAGCUUGCUCCUCUGACGUUAGCGGCGGACGGGUGAGUAACACGUGGAUAACCUACCUAUAAGACUGGGAUAACUUCGGGAAACCGGAGCUAAUACCGGAUAACAUGUUGAACCGCAUGGUUCAACAGUGAAAGACGGUCUUGCUGUCACUUAUAGAUGGAUCCGCGCCGCAUUAGCUAGUUGGUAAGGUAACGGCUUACCAAGGCAACGAUGCGUAGCCGACCUGAGAGGGUGAUCGGCCACACUGGAACUGAGACACGGUCCAGACUCCUACGGGAGGCAGCAGUAGGGAAUCUUCCGCAAUGGGCGAAAGCCUGACGGAGCAACGCCGCGUGAGUGAAGAAGGUCUUCGGAUCGUAAAACUCUGUUAUUAGGGAAGAACAAAUGUGUAAGUAACUAUGCACGUCCUGACGGUACCUAAUCAGAAAGCCACGGCUAACUACGU
rnacentral:rRNA from 1 species